AUAACACACCCAGAGCUGUCAUCUUCCAUGGUGACAGUGCCUUCUUCUGGAAUACCUCCUGAAGCACCUGCCUGAGGCUCUUUUAACUUUUUUUCCUGUUUCAACUCUUUUUUUUUUUAAUAAGUUGAAGGAAUCUAAUAAAAAAUAUAGUGUAAAUACAUAAACCAGUAGCAUAGUCGUUUAUUGUCAAGUAUUAUAUACUGUACAUAAUUGCAUUUGCUGUAUACUUUUAUUAGUCCCUUAUUGACUGAAAUGUCUUUAUGACUUUGUGAC
rnacentral:lncRNA from 1 species